rnacentral:tRNA from 1 species
GGCACUGUGGUUCAGUGGUAGAAUUCCCACCUUCCACGUGGGAGGCCCUGUUCGGUUCCU